ACGAACGCUUGCGGCAUGCCUGAGAAAUGCAAGUCGAGCGGGGGAGGGGGAGGCGACUUCUCUCCCUAGCGGCGAAACGGUCGAGUAACACGUAAGCAACCUGCCCGGAAGCGGGGGACAAGCCGGCGAAAGCCGGGGUAAUACCGCAUAGCUUCGGUGAGGGAGUCCUCAUCGAAGAAAGGAGCGCCUGGCGCUUCACUUUCGGAGGGGCUUGCGGCCUAUCAGCUAGUUGGGGGGGUGACGGCCCUCCCAAGGCGACGACGGGUAGCUGGUCUGAGAGGACGGCCAGCCCGGACUGGGACUGAGACACGGCCCAGACUCCUACGGGGGGCAGCAAUCAGGAAUCAUUGCACAAUGAGCGAAAGCCUAGAUGCAGCGAUGCCGCGUGGGUGAGGAAGUCCUUCGGGAUGUAAAGCCCUUUUGGAGGGGACGAUGGUGACGGUACCCUCCGAAGAAGCCCCGGCUAACUAACGUGCCAGCAGCCGCGGUAAUACGUAGGGGGCGAGCGUUGUCCGGAAUUACUGGGCCGUAAAGGGCGCGUAGGGCGGCCCCUUAAGUCCACGGUUGAAAGCCCGAGGCUCAACCUCGGAGGGUCCGCCGGAGAACUGGGGGGCUUGGGGUGUCGGAGAGGAGCGUGGAAUCCCUGGUGUAGCGGUGGAAUGCGUAGAGAUCAGGGGGAAACACCGAUGGCGAAGGCAGCGCUCCUGGCCGACGACCGACGCUGAGGCGCGAAAGCUGGGGGAGCGAACGGGAUUAGAUACCCCGGUAGUCCCAGCCGUAAACGAUGACGACUAGGUUGUGGGGGGCGUCAGCCCUCCGUGCCGGAGCUCACGCAUGAAGUCGUCCGGCCUGGGGAGUACGGCCGCAAGGUUGAAACUCAAAGGAAUUGACGGGGGCCCGCACAAGCCGGUGGAGCAUGGGGUUAUUAAUUUCGUCACUAACCGAAGAACCUUACCCAGGCCUUGACAUCCCCCGACCGCCCGGGAAACCGGGUUUUCCCCGCGAGGGGACGGGGAGACAGGUGUUGCAUGGCUGUCGUCAGCUCGUGUCGUGAGAUGUUGGGGUUAAGUCCCGCAACGAGCACAACCCUCACCUUCUGUUGCCAGCCGAGAGGCGCACUCAGGAGGAACUGCCGGGGCAACCCGGAGGAAGGCGGGGACGACGUCAAGUCGGCAUGGCCCUUACGCCUGGGGCUACAACCCAUGCUACAAUGGGCCGGACAGAGGGCAGCGAAGGGGCGACCCCGGAGCGAUAUCCCCAAAAACCGGCUCUCAAGUUGGGAUUGGGGUCUGCAACUCGACCCCCAUGAACGCGGAAUCGCUAGUAAACCGCCGGUCAGCCAAACGGCGGUGAAUCCGUUCCCCGGGCCUUGUACACCACCGGCCCGUCACGUCCACCUGAGUCUGCUGCAACCCGAAGCUGGAGGCUUAAACCCGGGGUUCGCCCCGGGGAGGGAUCCAGCGAAGGUGUGGCCGGUAAGGGGGACG
rnacentral:rRNA from 1 species